rnacentral:tRNA from 5 species
GGGGAUAUAGCUCAGUUGGUAGAGCGUCUCAAUGGCAUUGAGAAGGUCAGGGGUUCGACUCCCCUUAUCUCCACCA